CGGAACUACGGACCAGCUCUUCACUCUCGCAAGGAUCCUGGAGGGGGCCUGGGAGUAUGCCCAUCCGGUCUACAUGUGUUUUGUGGAUCUGGAGAAGGCGUUUGACCGGGUCCCCAAGGAUAAACUGUGGGAGGUACUGCGGGAGUAUGGGCUGGUGCACUCAUAAAAAUGAUUCAAGCACUUCUUAGAUAUGACAAAUUAAUAUUCUAUUUGUCUAAUGAAAUAUAUAUUAAUUCAAAUAAAAACCAAAAUAGUUUAACUCGUACAACUUAAAAUGUAUUCAUCGUCUCCGCUGACGCUGCUGACCUAUCCGUUCAACCCAAAAAGAUUGAGGUCAAUGACGGAAGCAUGCGCACGUGAGUUGACCACGCCCCUCUUUCCAUGCCCUGAAGCAGCGCGCCAUUUUGUUCAUCUUCUGGCUGCAGCGAGCGGCUUCCACUUACUCUCGGAAUGUAUGGACAAACUGAACCUCAGGAACUUGGUGUCUAUUUCAAUGGAUGGGCCCAAUGUGAAUUGGAAACUCUUCGACCUUUUCCAGAAAGAUCAAGCUGAGCAGUACGGAGGUCUUCAGCUCGUUUGUGUGGGGAGCUGUGGCCUACACACACUACACAACUCCUUCAAGUGUGGGUUCACUGUAUGGCAGCUGGACAAAUUGCUGAGAGCAAUACACACAUUGUUUCACAAUACGCCUGCCAGGAGAGAGGAUUACAUCACCGUAACCAAGUCCAGUGUGUUCCCUCUAUCUUUCUGUGCCCAUCGUUGGGUAGAAAACCUUCCGGUUGUGGAGAGAGCCCUGGCAGUCUGGCCAUCAUUUCUCCUGUACAUGGAAGCUGUGAAAACAAAGAGACUCCCGAACCCUGGAACAGCAUCAUAUGACACAGUUGCAGCAGCCAUAAAGGAUCCACUCGUCUUGGCCAAAUUGCAGUUCUACGCAGCAAUUGCCAGGACCUUCAAUCCCUUCCUGAAAAAAUAUCAGACGGAUGAGCCUGUGCUCCCAUUCCUCCCCAAAGGACCUGACCGAGUU